rnacentral:rRNA from 1 species
CCUAGCUUUCGCGCCUCAGCGUCAGUGUCAGCCCAGCAACCCGCCUUCGCCGCAGGUGUUCCUCUCGAUAUCUACGCAUUUCACCGCUACACCGAGAAUUCCAGUUGCCCCUUCUGCACUCUAGCCCUGCAGUAUCAGUUGACCUUUCCGAGUUAAGCCCGGAGAUUUCACAAUUGACUUGCAGUGGCCGCCUACGCGCCCUUUACGCCCAG